UCCAGAGGGUGCAAGCGUUGCUCGGAAUUACUGGGCGUAAAGGGGAGGUAGGUGGUCCUGUGCGUCUACGGUGAAAUCCCUGGGCUUAACCCAGGAAGUGCCGUGGAUACGGCAGGACUAGAGUACUGGAGAGGGUCGUGGAAUUCCCGGUGUAGCGGUGAAAUGCGUAGAGAUCGGGAGGAACACCAGCGGCGAAGGCGGCGACCUGGACAGUUACUGACACUCAACUCCGAAAGCGUGGGGAGCAAACAGG
rnacentral:rRNA from 1 species